rnacentral:misc_RNA from 1 species
CCUAGAGUUGUAGGCUUUGCCUGCUAUCUCUUACCCAUGUCUUUUGAGUACCUUACGUUUCCUCGGCGGGUCCGCCCGCCGAUUGGACAAUUUAAACCCUUUGCAGUUGAAAUCAGCGUCUGAGAAAACUUAAUAGUUA